UUUUAAGUAUGAUUUUAAAUGAGUUUUUGCAUGAAAAUUUCUUUAAGGGAAAACCCAGGUUCGGCCGCCGAAACUCACUUUCGGCCGCCGAACAUGCAUGGACUUUGGGAGGCACGUUAGGCCCCCGAAAGUCUAAGUGAGGGAAGUGCAGGUUCGGCCGCCGAACCUUAUGUUCGGCCGCCGAACAUUGCAUGGAUGCGGAGGCACAUUCGGCCCCCGAACGUGGCCUGGCCAGCCACUAUAAAAGGGUCCCCUUGGUCCGCACGGGCGAGCUUUUUCUCUCCCAUUGUCGGCCAAGGUGAGUCUCCACCGCUCCUCCCUCGAUCUUGAGUGUUUCCUUUAGAUCUUUCAUGGUUUUAACGAGUUAUAACUUCGUUUUGAAGAUUUGUGAGCUUUGAGCAAGUUUUGAGUGCUUGGAGGUUCAAAGAGCUUAAUCUCUCCAUCUCCAAGCUAGGAUCACUUUCCUCUCGUUUCUUCAAGAGGUAAGGGUCGAUCUUGAACCCUUUUUAUGUUUUAAACAAGUUUUAAGUAAGAUCUAUGGGUAGAAAUGCAUGUUAGGACAUAUGUUGAGUUUAUGGGUUAUGUUGAGAUUUUGAGCAAUGUAGCUUGAUUGUGUGUGUAUGAAGUGUUGUAGAUGGGG
rnacentral:lncRNA from 1 species